UUGUUACAAAUAUCACAGAAUUUAUUUAUUUUUUCAUAAUUUAGGGUAGAUUUCAUGUCUAUAAUGUACAGCAACUAUAAAAUGAACACAG